UUGUAACAUAUGACAUUGCCUUCACGUAUUGAAGAUCAUGGACUGGCCUUAUUUUAGGUGUAGUCUUAUAUGCCGUCAUUUCAGUCUCAUAUUGGGCUUACUAUGCGUAGGAUGUGUGUAUUUAAGCAGAACGAAUGACUUCACCGCUGUGUUAAAUCCACUUAAGCAAACAGAUUGUAUUACCAAGUGGCAGGAUGGCUUGUUGGCCAAAGUUGAUCGCUUGGUUUUACUGGUAAAAUUGAUAUUAAAGACCCGGCUCCUGACCUGGGAACCGUUGCAUCACUACAGUUGAAACUCUCUGAGAACACAGAGCCCAAUGAUCUUUCUAUAGUGUAUUUGGACAGUUGCUUUGGUCACGGGCCGAACACAGAAUCAUUUUUACUGUGAGACAACAGACAGCGCUAAUGUCUUUCACGUGUAUCUGAAUAUGUCAGCGGAUGUUUCGCUCAGCGAGAAGGAAGUUUUAAUACGCGUGUCUACAUAUGAAAACUCUUGAGUUAGGAAACUUUGUCAAACUACCCAAAAUA
rnacentral:sRNA from 1 species